CAGGUGGCCUUGGCUGCCGAGGGCAGGCUGCCUCUUGCGUGUGCAGCCCGAAAUUGCAGCUUGGCACUAGGAGACAGGGUUUGGAGAAGCAGCCAGACACGCACAGAGCGUUAGAGAAGUUGGGAGAGGGUGUCGAUCCUGGGCAUCCUAAGCGGCGGUGAAUACUUUAGUACCCCAGGAUUUGGAGGAGGGAGAGACGAGUGCCCAUGUGUCUGCGUCCUCGGUGGCUUUCUGCCAUGGCUGUGGCUGCUAGGAAGCAAGGAUAAUUCAAGAAGCGUGGGAAGAGUGGACAGAAGUUUAAAAAGCCUCUGAUGUCUCUGCUAGCCCGGCUUUCCCCUCUGCACAGCGACCACUGAGAGGGAGCCAUGUCUUCCCUCUACCAGCCACUGCUGCAGCAGCAGCAAUGAGAAAGCACCUACAGAGGAGAUGAGCACAGACCUCUCAAAGCAAAGCUGCCCCCAGGCAAAUCCAGAUGAGCUUUGGGAUGCAGAGCAGGAUGACAAGGUGUGGGGCAGUAACUGACAGAAAGGUCUUAUUUUGGUGGAAGAGUAACCAAAGAAUCAACUCAUGGGACAUACACAGCACCCUGCAUGCAGUUGCACAUGCUUUCUGCAGUGGGAGUCUGAGCCUGAGGUCUUGCAAAGCCGGACAGGAGGUCCAGAUAUGGGCUGAGGCACUGGGUGCUGAGGGCAGCCAUCAGCCCCAGCUCAGCUGCAGGCAGCUCUGAAGCAUAUUGACACUGAGCCCUGAUGUCCGAAGGCUUCUCCACUCACCAAAGGUCUCCACCCACCAAAGAGGACACCCUGGGGAACUGCUCUCCAGAUUUUCCCCACUGGCAGAGUAUCCACACCAAAGCAGAGCUGCAAAGCCUCCAUAUCCCACCCCCUGAAAAUAUGCUGCUGCUUCUCUAUAUCUCCUGAGUCUGUAAACCUUGUCAGGGGAUAGCCUUUACACUCCAGAUUUAAGGCGAUGCUGUGACUAUAAAUACUGUGCUUUGAAUAAAACAGUUGUGAAUACUA